AUGACGUUGUACCCCGCGAAGGAUCAAUGCAGCGCAGAACUUAGAACUAUAUUAAAUCAACCCUGCACAGGACAAACUUAGACUAAAAAGUGCUAAUUAGGAUAAAUGAGUCUCAAUCGCUACAACUCUUAGAUGAGUGUCGACAUGAAGCCGGCCUCCGGCAAAAAGCAAAACCUUGACCUGGACGAUAUUAGGCUAAAUUAGGGUAGGGCAAAGAGUCAAAAAACCAGGGCACGUCACGUGCUACCCCGCAAUUUUGAUGUCAACUUGUUCCAGAGGCCAAAGCUCGUUCUAAGUGUGUGAUUUACUCGGGGAGAGAUUGAAGGUGACGAUGAGAUUGCUUGUGUGGUCUGUUUAGGAGUGGGAGUUGCGCCAUUGCCGACCUAUAAGAACAUGGACGGUACAACCAUGGAGAAGCAUACUUAUCCAUGGCAUGCGAAAAAGCAUGGAGAUGUAAUGGUAUGAAAUGCACAUGCGUGGAUCCUAUGGAUUUGAGCGUCAAUACGGCCCGGCGACCAUGCAUCUAGAUAUUCGAGGCACAGUCCGAUCCAGCCCGCAGCAUAAUGACAAAUCCCUACAGCCGAGAAGUCUACAUGUCGAAAGAAAAGCAUUCGUUCGCAUCAAUGUAUCCUACUGUGUAAACAUACACACACAAGAUCCUCGGCAAUACUCGACCACACGCGGAUUUAACGUAAUCUCCAUGGUCUCGUGGUGAUAUUUCCUCGGGGAAUGCACCGACUGCUGAGCAUCGUAUACUACUUUGUUGUGCAAUACGGCCCUGUUGUAUCACCUCGAAAUGACCUCGGACGAUAUAGCUUUCUGUCUUACCCAUCCCAAGGAAGCAAUAGCUUUGCUUAAAUAGAGUCAUAUGAUGGAUAACAAAAGGCUCUUUUUUUCAGACCAAUUGUGUAACCCAGCAUUCUAUAGAAGGAAGGAUUGAAUAUGUACUAUGUCCAACCGCAUGUGUUGGAGUAUCUCGAGCCGAGUCGGAGCAACUCUGUAUAUUAGCCUCAAACAGCAUCUGAUAUGACAUCAACGGUACUCCACACAGCAUCAAAAAAAGGAAAGGAAAGAAAACAAAAAUCAAAGCUUGAUCCAUGCACGUCAAACAGACUCUAAUAAGUCUAAUCAAAUCAAGUAGUAGUGAGUACGAAGCCAUGCUCCAUCUUAUCCGCAGAGUUACCAGCAAGUAGGUACACACGGGAUUCGUUCGGUUACCGUAACAAUUUUCACUCAUUUCCAUUGAGCGAGCCACAUACUACCUAAUUGGGAAAUACGUCGCGGGCUCGACUUUUUCUUCUUCCAGCCUUCCAGAUACCUCGCGGAUGGUAUCCUCCGCGCGAUAUUUCACUUACGUACAUACAUAUCCACUAAGUUAACUAAGUUACUGCGAGUCGUUAAAAUGUUCAUGAACGAGGUUUUGAGACUUUGAGUUCGGCGACUUUUUUUUUCACUCGUCUGUGAAGCGGGCUAUUUCGGCACUCGGAGAUCGGAUACGAUACGUAACUGGGAUGAUUUCUAAGGAUUCAUUCACAUUCACCCCCGCUUGAAUAGAAAUCAAUAGAUAACUCUCCGUUGAUAACAUAACUAGUAUACCCUAACUAACUAGUGGUUAACUACCCGCGCCGGUAAUUAACUAGUUAACUACGUAUCAAUUGAGCCGGUGAGCUCUGAACAAAGUCUCAUAUCCCAAUGGAAACGGAACAUGGACGGCGCCGAGUGUUAGUAAUGCUUCAACAACAUGCAACUAACUUAUUCUGUAGUAAUUUACUAGUUAACCAGCUAGUUAACUAAUAACUACCGUAACAAUGCCGUUUAAGUUAUGUAACUAGUCAGGGGUCUGGAAUAUGAUGCGCGAUACGAUAUUUUAGUGGGACAUCAUACAUGGCAAAUUGGGCUGGAUAAGCUACUGCGCAGCGCAGAUAUACUAGAUGUAAUAGGUCUUGAUAUGGAUGUAACAUACUCUGUAUGCUGUAAGUUAAGU
rnacentral:lncRNA from 1 species